rnacentral:sRNA from 1 species
UUUUUUUUUGCAUUUCAGCGCCUACACUUACUUAUACAUCAAACAAAUAAGUUUACUAAUCUUAUUGUUUAUCAAUUUAAUUCCUAAUUUUAGAUUUCAUAACUAUUUCACAUAUAUCCUUAUAAA